GUUAUUUUGAACUAGGAAUGACUCUGGGGUGUGACAGAACUUUCUAUCCUCACUGCAAUAGUAUCUCUAAAAUACUGAACAAAUUUUGUUCUGAGCUCCUAGUUUGGGGAUGAAUUGAAUGGGAAGAAGGAUUGAGGCAUGAAACAAAUGAAUAUUUCUUUUUCUGUUUUUCAGAAUUUUAACCAGAUUAUAAAAAGCAGUGUCUUUAAUCUGAGAGGCCAUCAUUUUCAGGAUGACAAGAUAUGACAAAAUAGAAUAAAACUGAUCUGUGAGUUCAAUGAAGAAGACUGAGAAGACCAACUUCCUUUGCAGCUUUGUGUGUCACUGGAUACAGAAGAAGUGUACAAGGCAAUAUCUGGGUUGUGCCUCCAAAGGGAAUUGUGUACCCUCUCCUUUCCAAUUCCUUCUUGUUGGACAAGAUGGUAGACAUUGUGAGUUGGAAGACAUGCACUGAAGCCUGGACUCUUGACAACUUUGAGGAGAAAAGCUACAAUAUCAGCUUGGAGUUUUAUGGAAAAGAAAUCAAUUUUGAGCUGCCUAAUUUACUUUUAGCACUCUGUGUCACAACAUCUAAGUCUAUCUAAGAUGUCAGGAGUUCCUUGGCUUUUGGUAUAUUGUAGUGUUUACCUUACCUUCCUUAUAAAGAC
rnacentral:lncRNA from 1 species